UUACAAGAGGAAAGUCCGGGCAACAUAGAGCAGGGUAGUCGCUAACAGCGACCGUCCGUAAGGAUAGGGAAAGUACCACAGAAACAAUACAAGGUAAGGGUGAAAAGAGUGGGGUAAGAGCCCACAGCGCGCCGUAGCGAUAUAGUGCGGAGGCAAACCCUACCUGUUGCAAGGAGCACUAUAUACCUUCGCUCGAGGAUGUGCGUUCACCGCUAGAACGUUAUAGCAAUGUAACGUCAAGAUAGAUGGUCAUCAACUAUAUAUUAUAUAUAGUUACAGAACCCGGCUUACUGACGG
rnacentral:RNase_P_RNA from 1 species